rnacentral:rRNA from 1 species
UACAGAGGUGGCAAGCGUUGUUCGGAAUUACUGGGCGUAAAGGGCGCGUAGGCGGUUCGUUAAGUCCUGUGUGAAAUCCCCCGGCUCAACUGGGGAACUGCACAGGAACUAGCGGGCUUGAGUUCGGGAGAGGGAAGCGGAAUUCCGGGUGUAGCGGUGGAGAUGCGUAGAUAUCCGGAGGAACACCGGUGGCGAAGGCGGCUUGCCUGGAC